CGCAUAUUCAACUGAUUGAGUGGAUCUCGCAGAACAUUGAGGAGAUUUUAUUCAAAACUCCCCCUGUGAAAAAAAUGCUGGUUGCGGGCUUGCACAUAUACAAUAUAAGUUUACAGAAAGAAAUGUGCCAGAACAUACCUCGUACAAAUUAAAAUGGCUUUCGAUGAGACAAAAUUCAAUGCCUGUUCAAAUCGAUUCCGAAAUUUUUCGUGUCAUUCCAAAGCAUAUGCGUAAAAGAAACAAAAGCGCCGACGAAAGCAGAAAAACAUCUAAACGUCUUUCAAAGGAGUAAACAUUUUAGGUGAAGUAAAAAGUAGUCAACGCUUUCAU